GAAUAUUGCGCAAUGGAGGGAACUCUGACGCAGCGAGGCCGCGCGAGCGAUGAAGGUCUUCGGAUCGUAAAGCUCUGUCGUUGGGGAAGAAGGGAGCCGUAAGGCUUCUUGACGGUACACAUGGAGGAAGCCCCGGCUAACUACGUGCCAGCAGCCGCGGUAAUACGUAGGGGGCAAGCGUUGUCCGGAAUUAUUGGGCGUAAAGGGUGCGUAGGCGGCCCUUUAAGUCAGAUGUGAAAGCCCACGGCUUAACCGUGGGACUGCAUUUGAAACUGGAGGGCUUGAGUGUCGGAGAGGGCAGUGGAAUUCCCAGUGUAGCGGUGGAAUGCGUAGAUAUUGGGAGGAACACCAGUGGCGAAGGCGACUGCCUGGACGAUAACUGACGCUGAGGCACGAAAGCUAGGGGAGCAAAC
rnacentral:rRNA from 1 species